UUUUUUAAACAGAGAAUAACAUUUAUAUUCACAGCGAGUGUUUUAUAGUAUGGAUAAAACUACUAGCAAGGACUCCUGCAAAUCCAUGUUUCUGUGAGACCGGGCCACCUUUUAGAACACCAUUGGGUUCUGCAAAAAGGGUACCACAGGAAGAGCCACUGUUUUCUGCCACUCAACAAUCAAAUUGCUGCAAGCUGCCGCAACUACUAUAUGGUUUUCACCCCCAUCAUAGAUGCAUCAAUGUCAUCCCAUGUGGCCCUACCCUUAGGAGAACAAUAUGUCAGACAUUAUCUAAAAGAAAAAAUUAAGGUAUGACUCUCAAGGCUCAAUAAACUGGUAAACAACCUAUAUAUUAUAAAAUAUAGAUUUUUAAUAAUGGUGGUAUUUAUUCCAAAGGAAUUAGGUAAACUAGUAUAAAUGAAAUAAUAUUAAAUAAAACAAUGGAGGUCUAGUCCACAUAAAUAGAGCUGCGGGCCCCACAGCUAUUUGUCACUAAAUAAAAUAUAAAAUGAUAAUAUAAAUAAAAAUAAUUUGUCCUGCAGCACUAUUUAUGUGAACUGGACCUCCAUUGUUUUAAAUAUAUAUAUUGUUGGUUCAUUGAGCCUUAAGAAUUAUACCGUCAUUUUUUAUUUUUGUGGGCAACAGACUGGUAUAGACACUUGGUAUAAUUGUAACAGAUUAAUUCUUAUAAUCUGUGGGGUGGGCCAUCUGUUUAAUAGUGUAUGUCAAUAUGUAUGUAUGCAGUUGGGAGGUAGACGGUACACACACUAAUACGGUACACACUGUUAUUGAUGUUCCUGCACACAAAUGUAGCACUGUAAUGACCUAUAGGAACAGUCUCUUCCUCUGCGUUCCACCGCCUUUCUUAUUCACUGUGUUCACAACCUACAAAGUAAUUUUUAUAUACGUAAAAGUCAUUUUUGAAAGCCAUUAAAUAACAAAAGUAGAAGUCUUCAUUUCUUUAUACACGUCAAAAGGAUAGUAAGCCCCAUAUGCAAUUGCUUAAAUUGAAAUGUAAAAUACUAGAAUUCAUGAAACGAUGUGCAGAUAAUGCAAGAAGUUAUCAGUAUAAAAAUUACAGGACUGUAGGUUUAAAUUCACACCUUCAAGUUAUGGUAGGUGGGCCAUAUCUGCUCUGUCGGCAGGCAUUUUGCUUGGUAAUGGACAGUCAUUGAGGAUGCAUCCUGCAAUCCACUAGAGACUGAUUUUGUAACCAAACUACUUCAUAACAUAUUUCAAAGGAUUUAGAUAUUUUUUUCAGAAUGAAGGCUUCUCUUUAAACAGUGGCACCUGUUACCAUUACCAUCAAUAGUACAUUCCUGAUAUUAACUGCAAGUGGUGGGGUACCCUACUAAAUAAGUUUGGAGGUACCUCUACCUACUGUCCAAGGACAUUUAAUUUCAUGGAGCUAUCUGGUUGCACUUGGUGAUGUUCACAGAAAUGUCUUUGGAAAUGUUAAUAAAUCAGUCACGUUUGGUAGGACACAAAAGUUACAUCCCUGUUCUUAACACAAAUAACAAAUACCAAUUGUGUUG